GCUGGGGUGGCGGAAUUGGUAGACGCGCACGUUUCAGGUGCGUGUGAGGUAACACUCGUGCGGGUUCGACUCCCGCCCUCAGCA
rnacentral:tRNA from 1 species